AAGGGUGAUAUGGUCUAUAUUUAGGAAAUUGCUAUUUUUUUGGAAUCUAAGUUCGAUUCUUAGGGGCUCUUG
rnacentral:tRNA from 1 species